GCCUUUGUGGUGGAAUGGUAGACACACCAGACUUAAAAUCUGGAGGCAUUUUGUCCAUAUGGGUUCAAGUCCCAUCAAAGGUA
rnacentral:tRNA from 1 species